UACGUAGGGGCCUAGCGUUGUCCGGAUUUAUUGGGCGUAAAGAGCUCGUAGGCGGCUUGGUAAGUCAGGUGUGAAAUCUCCACGCUCAACGUGGAGGGGCCACCCGAAACUGCCACGGCUUGAGUCCGGUAGGGGAGUGUGGAAUUCCCGGUGUAGCGGUGAAAUGCGCAGAUAUCGGGAGGAACACCCGUAGCGAAGGCGGCACUCUGGGCCGGUACUGACGCUGAGGAGCGAAAGCGUGGGGAGCGAUCCGG
rnacentral:rRNA from 1 species